UACAGAGGUGGCAAGCGUUGUUCGGAAUUACUGGGCGUAAAGGGCGCGUAGGCGGUCUUGUAAGUCUUGUGUGAAAUCCCUCGGCUCAACUGAGGAACUGCACGGGAUACUGCGAGACUUGAGUUCGGGAGAGGGAAGCGGAAUUCCGGGUGUAGCGGUGAAAUGCGUAGAUAUCCGGAGGAACACCGGUGGCGAAGGCGGCUCUUGGUCCAUUUCUGGACGUCAUGCACGAAAGC
rnacentral:rRNA from 1 species